rnacentral:tRNA from 1 species
GGGAUGUGGCGGAAUGGUAGACGCGUCGGACUUAAAAUCCGGCGAUAGUAAUAUCGUAAGGGUUCAAGUCCCUUCAUCCCC